rfam:Pseudomonas lutea strain DSM 17257 Contig001, whole genome shotgun sequence.
UCAUAAGUCGCUGCAUGACAAUCGUCGGCAGCGGCAAGCCUCGUUUAUCCCGUAUGGCUGACGAGGUUUCACCAGAAAAAGGAA